rnacentral:lncRNA from 1 species
CAGAGAAGCAAAGCUCAGAAGAGAGUGCACAGAGUCAGGCUGAAAUUUGAGCUGUCUUCCUAAAUGAAAGGGUGGUCACAGAGAAUCGAGAGGGGAAAUAUGGACUCUGGGAAGGGUAGAUCAGAGAGGAGUUGUAAGAAGCCAGUGGAAGUAUAAGCUUUGUGUCACAAGGGGCUGUUUCUUUUGCCUGUCAUUGCCCGACUCCCAUAUCAACCUGAGCUGUAACAGGCAAUUCUAUUUGACUGACUGAAUGAAUGCAUUAGUGCUACGAAAUUCACGGAUAUGACUUGACAGUAAGUAGCAUUAGGGUUUGGUUGCCAAUUCAAGUUGUCUGUAUUGGAGUUUUUCCUCCCAAGCUAUUUGAAACAUAAAUAAGGACCGUCGGGCUCAGAAAACAUUCAGACAAGAAUAAAGUCUUGGAGAGAGGGUGGGGCUUCUUGGAAUGGGGUUACUCUGCAGAGGGCAGUAACUGCUGGAAGAGGAUCCCACCAGAUUAGUAGUAAUGUAAUAGAAGUAAUAGUACCUAAGGAUGGGCAAGAUACAGCCCCUAUAUUAGUCCAUUUUCAU